rnacentral:tRNA from 1 species
GACUUUGCAAGUUGAAAAAAGAAUCAAAUAUUCA